rnacentral:rRNA from 1 species
GGGGAAUUUUGGACAAUGGGCGCAAGCCUGAUCCAGCCAUUCCGCGUGCAGGAUGAAGGCCCUCGGGUUGUAAACCGCUUUUGUCAGGGAAGAAACGGUCUGGGUUAAUACCUUGGACUAAUGACGGUACCUGAAGAAUAAGCACCGGCUAACUACGUGCCAGCAGCCGCGGUAAUACGUAGGGUGCAAGCGUUAAUCGGAAUUACUGGGCGUAAAGCGUGCGCAGGCGGCUUUGCAAGACAGAUGUGAAAUCCCCGGGCUCAACCUGGGAACUGCAUUUGUGACUGCAUCGCUCGAGUGCGGCAGAGGGGGAUGGAAUUCCGCGUGUAGCAGUGAAAUGCGUAGAUAUGCGGAGGAACACCGAUGGCGAAGGCAAUCCCCUGGGCCUGCACUGACGCUCAUGCACGAAAGCGUGGGGAGCAAA